AGAAGCAAUAAUGUUAAUAUGAGUAACAAGAAAACCUUUCUACCCUGCAUGCGUGUAUAUCAGAACGAAUAGCACACUGGUAGUUAACAAAUAUAAAUACAACUAACUAGUUGAAAAUUUAAUGUAAUUGUUAGUCCAACACAGGUAUGCACCCCAGGAAGAUAAAAGAAGUAAAAGGAACUCGGC
rnacentral:rRNA from 1 species